GUAGGUGAACCUGCGGAAGGAUCAUUGUCGAGACCCACUGACGAGGACGACCGUGAAUGCGUCAACGAUUGCUCGUCGGGCUCGUCCCGACAACACCCCGAAUGUCGGUUCGCCCUCGGGCGGGACGAUCGAGGGGAUGAACUUCAACCCCGGCGCGGAUAGCGCCAAGGAACACGAACAUCGAAGUCGGAGGGCCUCGCUGCAUGCAGGAGGCUACAAUUCCGACGGUGACCCCAUUGGACGACUCUCGGCAACGGAUAUCUCGGCUCUCGCAUCGAUGAAGAACGUAGCGAAAUGCGAUACCUGGUGUGAAUUGCAGAAUCCCGUGAACCAUCGAGUCUUUGAACGCAAGUUGCGCCCGAGGCCAUCCGGCUAAGGGCACGCCUGCCUGGGCGUCACGCUUUCGACGCUUCGUCGUUGCCCCCUCGGGGGGUGGGGGCGAACGCGGAGGAUGGCCCCCCGUGUCGGAAGGUGCGGUUGGCCGAAGAGCGGGCCGUCAGUGGUUGUCGAACACGACGCGUGGUGGAUGCCUUGUGCGAGCCGUACGUCGUGCCUUCGGGACCCGGGCGAGGCCUCGAGGACCCAAGUCGUGGUGCGAGUCGAUGCCACGGACCGCGACCCCAGGUCAGGUGGGGCUACCCGCUGAGUUUAAGCAUAUCAAUAAGCGGAGGA
rnacentral:rRNA from 1 species